GCCACUCGUUGGGUGCCAUCUGUAGCUGCCUGCAUCCACAGGUUACUGGUAUUCCGAAAGGAAAGAUGGGGUUUUGUAUAUGAAAGGCUGCAAGAGAAAUAACGAACCAAGACUCCUCCCUAGGAUAUACAGGUUCAAAAAUGGAGCAGAGACUGAAAGAAAGGCCAGUCAGUGAGUAGUUCAACUUUGGAUUCAUUCCAUGUGUGUACACCAAAGAGUGAUACUAUUUCUGAGACCAUACUAUGCUUGCAGACAGUAGCCUGGCAUGGCUGUCCUCAGAAAGACUCUACCAGCAACUGAUUGAAACAGAUGCAGAUACUUACAGCCAAGCAUUGGAUUCAGGUCAAAGACCAAUAUGGAAGUUAGGGGAAGGUCUGAAGGACCUGAAGUGGAUUGCAACCUCUCAGAGUUCCCAGAGACGAAGCCAAAAAACCAAGCAGCAUACACGGGCUUGUUCAUGGCCCUGGACGCAUGUGUAGCAGAGUUCUGCCCAGUAUGAUGUCAGUAGGAGAGGAUGUGCUUAAUCUUGUGGAAACCUGAUGCCUCAGAAAAGAGAGAUGUUGGUGGGGAUGAAGAGAUGUUGGCUGGGCAAUUAGUAGAGCACCCUCUCAGAAGUAGGGGUAGGGAGGAU
rnacentral:lncRNA from 1 species